GUGAGCUAGGCUGAUGCCAUGGCACUCCAGCCUGGACAACAGAGGGAAACUCUGUCUCAAAAAAAAAAGAACAUCUCUCUCAUCUUGUAGAGAUACUAAAUGAUUAGGCUUAUUUGGUAAAUUGUGUGGGAAACACUGUCAAAUGGUAAGUGAUGCUAAAUCUUUCAAUUAAUUUGUGAGUGCGUUAUUGAUACAAAUGUUUCAAAAAUUAUAUAAAUUUAUAACUAUGUGAUGUUACCAGUCAUCACCUUGGUUGUUAUGUUAAGUCUUCUUUAAAGUUAUGUUCAUAUGGAUAUGUUGUUGAUAUGAAUAUUCUAAAGAUGACAUGAAAUUUAUAAAUCUGAUGGUCCUGGUGUGAUGCUGUCAGUCAUGAUUCUGGUUGUUAUCUUAAAAUGCUGUGUGUAGUAGAAGUAACUCAAUUUCCUUGUCAAUUAUGAACAAUUACCAGAUUUUUAACCAUGGCCAUUCUGAGUUUUUAUCAUCCACUGUUACUGUUUUGAUUUCUUCUCUAAAACCAUUUGUAAGUAUCUAUAGUCCAAAAUUGUUUUUCAUGGAAAAGACUUCCACAAGUAUUCUUGAACACACAGAAUUUCUAAUAACUUUAAGAUCAAGGGAAUAAAUAAAAAUUUCCAGACCUCCGAUAAAGAAGCUGAUGAGUUCAUGAAACUGCUAAUCAAGAUCAAGAAGAACAAAAAAUAAUUACAUGGGAUUAAGUAACUGAUGAAGAUAAUGCUUUUAUUACUUUUAUUUGAAACAUUGUUGGUUCUUUAUGUAAAUGUUUUGUUUUCCAGAUUUAAGAAAGCUAUCUCUAGUUUACAACAAUUUGGUAAAUUAUACUUUCGUGAACAAAGGUGGAAACAUUUGCUUUUUCUCCCUAUUUGAUUCCUGCAAAAUUUGGAAACUAUUUAAGUAUAACUCCUAACAGAACAAUGCUGGCCCAGCACUUUGAGAUGAUAGCAAAAGACUAUGAAACAGGCAAAAUUGAACUUAAUACUGGACUCCAGGUAGACUUAGCCUGAGAGCUGCUCCUUUCAAAUCUCUCUUGUUGCUUGAAUGUGGCUAAAAGGGCUUUGACACUGACUCCUUAGUUGCCCAUCACUCGCCCAAUGUGGGAUGCAACCAGGAACCGGGACAGGUCCAUCCUGGCAUCAAGGGACAAUCAAAACCCAACUACAGGUUGAUUAAUCAGUGAUGCUUUCAGAGAAAGAUCUUGAUCAAAAGGGGGAAAUGGGAACGUUGUCAGAAUCAAAAUGGAGUCACUUAUGUUAAAAAGCAAAAUAAAUGGACCAAUAGAACCAGAGAAGGCUGCGAAUAAAGGGUUCUCAUGGAUGAGACUGCAAAAACCACAACCUAGCACAAAGAUCAUUGAAACCUUGCACAGAAACACACACACACACACACACACACACACACACACCUCUGAUGACGUCUGCCCAGCAACUGCAUGUCCCAACCUUGGAAUAGCAUCACCCUUGUUAUUGGUCUUGUUAGCCAGGGAUAAUUAUCUUAAAACAAUUAUAUAGUCCUCCUUAUUUUUCCUUUAAAAACCUUUGUCUCCCUUUACCACCCUGAAUACACAUGUAAUCUACUAUGGCAUGCAUAUUCACAUUGCAAUGCCCUAUUCCUGAAUAAAUAUCGUUUUCUUUGA